rnacentral:rRNA from 1 species
CGUGGGCAACCUGCCUCAUAGAGGGGAAUAGCCUUUCGAAAGGAAGAUUAAUACCGCAUAAGAUUGUAGCUUCGCAUGAAGUAGCAAUUAAAGGAGCAAUCCGCUAUGAGAUGGGCCCGCGGCGCAUUAGCUAGUUGGUGAGGUAACGGCUCACCAAGGCGACGAUGCGUAGCCGACCUGAGAGGGUGAUCGGCCACAUUGGGACUGAGACACGGCCCAGACUCCUACGGGAGGCAGCAUG